rnacentral:rRNA from 1 species
AGGGGAGUGAAAUAGAACCUGAAACCGUGUGCUUACAAGUAGUCAGAGCCCGUUAAUGGGUGAUGGCGUGCCUUUUGUAGAAUGAACCGGCGAGUUACGAUUUGAUGCAAGGUUAAGCAGUAAAUGUGGAGCCGUAGCGAAAGCGAGUCUGAAUAGGGCGUUUAGUAUUUGGUCGUAGACCCGAAACCAGGUGAUCUACCCUUGGUCAGGUUGAAGUUCAGGUAACACUGAAUGGAGGACCGAACCGACUUACGUUGAAAAGUGAGCGGAUGAACUGAGGGUAGCGGAGAAAUUCCAAUCGAACCUGGAGAUAGCUGGUUCUCUCCGAAAUAGCUUUAGGGCUAGCCUCAAGUGAUGAUUAUUGGAGGUAGAGCACUGUUUGGACGAGGGGCCCCUCUCGGGUUACCGAAUUCAGACAAACUCCGAAUGCCAAUUAAUUUAACUUGGGAGUCAGAACAUGGGUGAUAAGGUCCGUGUUCGAAAGGGAAACAGCCCAGACCACCAGCUAAGGUCCCAAAAUAUAUGUUAAGUGGAAAAGGAUGUGGCGUUGCCCAGACAACUAGGAUGUUGGCUUAGAAGCAGCCAUCAUUUAAAGAGUGCGUAAUAGCUCACUAGUCGAGUGACACUGCGCCGAAAAUGUACCGGGGCUAAACAUAUUACCGAAGCUGUGGAUUGUCCUUUGGACAAUGGUAGGAGAGCGUUCUAAGGGCGUUGAAGCAUGAUCGUAAGGACAUGUGGAGCGCUUAGAAGUGAGAAUGCCGGUGUGAGUAGCGAAAGACGGGUGAGAAUCCCGUCCACCGAUUGACUAAGGUUUCCAGAGGAAGGCUCGUCCGCUCUGGGUUAGUCGGGUCCUAAGCUGAGGCCGACAGGCGUAGGCGAUGGAUAACAGGUUGAUAUUCCUGUACCACCUAUAAUCGUUUUAAUCGAUGGGGGGACGCAGUAGGAUAGGCGAAGCGUGCGAUUGGAUUGCACGUCUAAGCAGUAAGGCUGAGUAUUAGGCAAAUCCGGUACUCGUUAAGGCU